rnacentral:rRNA from 1 species
GACGAACGCUGGCGGCGUGCUUAACACAUGCAAGUCGAACGGAAAGGCCCUGCUUUUGUGGGGUGCUCGAGUGGCGAACGGGUGAGUAACACGUGAGUAACCUGCCCUUGACUUUGGGAUAACUUCAGGAAACUGGGGCUAAUACCGGAUAGGAGCUCCUGCUGCAUGGUGGGGGUUGGAAAGUUUCGGCGGUUGGGGAUGGACUCGCGGCUUAUCAGCUUGUUGGUGGGGUAGUGGCUUACAAAGCUUUGACGGGUAGCCGGCCUGAGAGGGUGACCGGCCACAUUGGGACGGAGAUACGGCCCAGACUCCUACGGGAGGCAGCAGUGGGGAAUAUUGCACAAUGGGCGGAAGCCUGAUGCAGCAACGCCGCGUGCGGGAUGACGGCCUUCGGGUUGUAAACCGCUUUCGCCUGUGACGAAGCGUGAGUGACGGUAAUGGGUAAAGAAGCACCGGCUAACUACGUG